ACCAAACAGUCACUGGAAGUGCAGAGGAUGGAUUGAUGAUGGCAGUGUAGAACUGUUUCAGCAGAUCCUGUGGCAGGUUGAACUUCCUCAGUUUUGUUCUAGAAUACCAUGGUGGUCAUGAGAUUUCACUGUAUCCAGCACAAAUUCAAGACACUCUGUGCCAGAUUGUGCAAAUAGGCCCAGAAUAUAACCAAGCCUAAUCCAUGUUUAACAGCACAUAAUUUUCUUUUCUUUGUAUGCUUAAAUCUUAUGUGUAAACAUCUGACUUGCCAAAAAGCUCUAGUUCCCUUUCAAGGUAACUCAACGCUGAGUCAGAGGAAUGCUGUGAGGAAGUUGUGUCUGAAGCUCUGUGUGCACAUGCAAAUUUAAUGGCUCAGAAAGGACACAUGAUGAAGUGAUUAUGUGCCAGCAAGUCCAUAUGAGGGCAUCUACGUCACAUUACUCCAGCUUCUUUGUCUUCAGGAAGUACUUUGUGUAUGUUUGUGUCGAUUGUCUGUCUUGUCUGUUUACUGCAAGGAAAUAAAAAUGAAAUAUUUCCAGCCAAGCGCCUGUACCUUGUGGUUCGGGUCAACACAGCACGGUGGUCUUGAUCAUGGGGUUCGCAGGUUGAGUUAACCGAAGCGGAGAAAGAGAUGGGUUUUUCACUUUCUCUGAAUUUAGAUUGGCCUGAAGAGGAAGAUGACCGCUGUUCCCAGACCUCCAUGAUGAGGUGUUGAGGUCUUGGGGAAAUCCAUUUUCAUCAAGUCUGUUUUCCCCUGACAUGUCUGACUUUUCAGACAUUAAAGGGCUUGAAAGUUACGGUACUGGGCGAUGCUUGGGAUUGAAGAGACGCUUGUGAGCUAUCUCUCUCCUGCAUCACCCACAACGAGGAAGCCAAGACUUCCAUCCAAGUCUUUUAGAGCUAAUUCAGCCCUUGUGGGUAAGGCUUAUAUUGCAGAAGGCCAAGCAGGUGUGGCCCUGAACACCAUGGCAGUUUUGCAGGUCUACCAGUCUGACCUGUUGAAAGAGCUCGACGGUGGCAAGGGGUUGGCCCCUCAGGUAAUAGCUGAGCUCCACCAAGCCACACAUCUUGCACUCCGUGCCACAAAAUAGACGGCCCACUUCAUAGGCCGUUCAAUGGCUGAGCUGGUUGCCACGGAGAGGCACCUGUGGCUCAACUUAACGGGAAUUAAAGACAAUGACUUCCUGAAUGCUUCGAUUUCACCUCAGGGCUUGUUCAGCAACACCUUUCUUCCUGGGACCUCUCUAUGGCCCUGAAGGGGCUGCUGGAAGCCUGUUUGAGCUCAUAGAGUAAAACUUCUGAGAAGUUUCUGACCCUCAAGAUAGCUCUGCUCCUAGUCCUAGAUUUGCACCCCAGGGCUGGAUAUGUCACAAAGGUGUCCAGCAUGGAGUGUUGUCCAUUCAUCCUGCAGGCCUACUGUCCCUCGCCCCAUGAGUUGGUGGAACAGGAGAGGGUGCAUUUGUGAUGAAUGCUGUCAGGAUCCAGUUCACUGCCCUGUUGUUACAGUGCUGAAGUUCCUGCAUUCUUGCUUUUCCCUGUUCCUGUCCCAUCUUCUUUAAAGGUGUAUGUGGCCGCCAUCACUGUGAACCACGAACCUGUCCUCGGGGGCCACCCUCUGUUCUCUCACAUUAUGCAUGGUGUCAGGCGGCUGAGGCCUUCCUACAUACUGUGACUUCCUUCAUGGGACCUCUCUAUGGCCCUGAAGGGGCUGCUGGAAGCCUGUUUUGAGCUCAUAGAGUAAAACUUCUGAAAAGUUUCUGACCCUCAAAAUAGCUCUGCUCCUAGUCCUAGAUUUGCACCCCAGGGCUGGAUAUGUCACAAAGGUGCCCAGCAUGAAGUGUUGUCCAGUCAUCCUGCAGGCCUACUGUCCCUCGCCCCAUGAGUCGGUGGAACAGGAGAGGGUGCAUUUGCUUUGCCCAGAAAGGGCCUUUAGGGCUUAUGUCAAACGCUUGAGCUUGUGGCGUAACUCCGACUCCCUUUUUGUCUGUUUUUGGAGCCAGAACAGAGAUAAUGUGGUUUCCAAACAGCACCUGGCGCACUGGUGGAGGCCAUUAAUCAGGCCUAUGAGGCACACCGUCUUGCCUCGCCUCUCAGCAUCAGUGCUCAAUCCACUAGGGGUAUCAGCUUGUGGGGUAGGGGUAUCUUCGAGUGUUCCCCUCGAAGAUAUUGUGCUGCAGUAGGAUGGUCUUCUCUGCACACCUUUAUCAGGUUCUAAAACCUGGACCUGGACCCCACUCUAGGGUCCCAGGUCCUGCAAGGCUAUUGAUGUUCUAUUCCCAGUCUGCUCAUGCUCAACCCGUGCGUGGCACAGCAUCAAGUUCCAUUGAAAGAAACUAUACCCUGAGAAGGAAACAAUACUCUGCAUCACUGGCCAAGCCACGGGUGUCUUCUCACGCUUCCUUCAGACAAAUAGAAGCUAGAGUAAUAUGAUGUAGAUGCCCUUAUAUGACUUGCUGGUGCGUAAUCACUUGUAUGUCCAUCCUGAGCCAUUAAAUUGGCUUGUGUGCACACAGAGCUUCAGACACAACUUACUCACAGAAGCAUUCCAAUAGCAUCUGCCCUGACACAGUGUCUCAUUGCCUUCUCAGGGAACCCAGUUAGAUACGUAACAUGGUGUAGUUUUGCCUCAUCUGUCCCAUUUCUGUUGAUUUGCUUUCAACUGUGGAGUCCACCUCGUUCGUCUUCCAUCAAGUCCACUUUGCUUCAAACAGCAAUGGUUGGUCUGGUCUGACACUGAUGUACCUUGACCUUGGAGCUACAGUCCCAUGGACCUUAAAAGUUUAAAUAAUAUGUGCAACUGUAGUCACAGGAAGAUCAAGCUGCUUGGAGAUGGUCAUAUAGCCUUCACCUUUACCUUUAACAUUCUUUCAUUCAUUCAUUUUCUACCGCUUAUCCAAACUUCUCGGGUCACGGGGAGCCUGUGCCUAUCUCAGGCGUCAUCGGACAUCAAGGCAGGAUACACCCUGGACGGAGUUACCUUUAACAUGCUUGUCUAUAAUUGUUCUUCUAAUCUCCUGAGACAACUCUCUCCAUAAAUUUCUGUGGUCCAUGUUCAGUGUUGUGCACACCAUGGAACCAAAUUGCAUAGUGACUACUUCUCACCCUUUAGGAAGACUGACUCAAUACAAGUUUGAAGACACCCAUGAUGCUAAUUACAGGACACACUUUAAUUUAACAUGUCCCUAUCGUCAAAUUAUUUUCACUAUUUUCUAGGGGUUCUAUCAGAACAAAGGCAAAACACCUUGUGAAGAUGCUGGCUGAAGCUGGUAAGAGAGUGUCAUUAUCCACAGUGAAACAAUUACUGACAUAGGCUGAAAGGCCACUAAGCGUGAAAGAAGACAUUACCCGAAAACCAACAUAUAAAAGCCAGAUUACAAUUUCCAAAUGCACACAGGGACAAAGGCAUAAAAAAAUACCUUAUUUUUAGAAGCAUGUCCUGUGGUCUGAUGAAACUAAAAUUUAACUGUUUGCCAUAAGGUCCAUCAUUACUUUUGGAUGAAAGUUUUGAAGUGUCCGUCACAAAGCACUUAACUCAAUGCUAAGAAAUACAAAUACAAGGCAAUGCUACCAAAUACUAGAAAAUGUAUGUAAUCUUCUGACUUUAAAGAAAGUAAUAACAUUUUCUUUCAGCAUUUAGCAAAUAGAAAUCAUUUUGGUAAUCCUAACUGACCUAAAACAGGGAAAGUUUAGUCUGAUUUAAUUGUCAGACAGUGCGGAAAAUAACGUUCAUUCCACCAAAUACAUAGUAGCUUAAUCAAAGUGACAUGAAUAAAACAUGCAAUUAGACAAACAUUUAGUAUUGACAUCACAUGGACUCAUAAACCUCUAAAUUCAAAUUAAAUACAUUAAAGUCACUAAGAAGAAAGUAGUUGGCCUAUACAAGAUGUAAAAAUCAUGUUUCAUGAUACAGUAUGAGUGUGAUGCUCAAUUUUAAUCAUUUAAUGUGUUUGAUUACUUAAUUACACUCCCAACAAAGAAGUGCAGCUGUGAUCAUUUCAGCUUAAUUACAUUUGCUAGCACAUUUCUUAAAGUUAAAUAAUUCUCCCAAAUACAAUAUCUUAUCUCUAGAGAUACAGAUGGCAAUGAUUCAAUUACAGGCUGGGAGAAAAAACAGCAAUGAAUAAUAUAGCAUGCUGCUUUCCCUGUUGGAGCUUUUAGCCUAAAUCUCAGUGCUCCAGAUUUAACUCAUAUAUUCAUAUCAAAUCAAAUAUUCUAGUUUGAUGUGGGUUUACAGCUUAGGUUUUUUUUUUAAAUAAUUUAAACAAUUAAACUCUGACUGAAACACCACCAUCUCCAACUUUUAUUGUAUUUAGAAUAUCAUGUCUGUGCAGGUAGAAGUUUGUUUAAGAAAGUACAGAUUAUGUGCACCCAGAUUCUACGCCAAGAUACACAGAAAAUGGAUUUGUCUUUUUUAUGCUGUUUUUGAUUAAGGUAACCCCUAGUUUAAAAAAAAUCUAGAAGAAAAUGUUAAGGGUAGAGUAGAACAUAGAGUAGAGUUUAUUGGGCAAAAGCAGGAGGAGUUGUUGAGCCAAUUCUGUACAUUUUUGAUGAGAAUUCUAACAGAACUGAAUCAACCCAAAGCAGUGUGGUGACAAAGUUGAAAAUUGUUGUUUCCAAACUAACUGAAGCUAAGUACUUAAGUUUAUAGGUUUCUAAAGUAACAAAGUUCUUGUGUGGUUGGUAUAAUUCUGUUAAGAUUCUAAAGUACCUGAAUCAGCCCAACGCAGUGUGGCAGCCGAAUUAUAACUAAAUAGUCCGAUUGGUCAGUCCAGCGCGACUGACCAUUGGAGAAUCCAGACAUUGGAGAAAAAUUGUUAUGUAUGACUGUAAUCAGGUAAUGGAUAUUAUGUGUCAAGUCUUGACAGGGACUCCAGCAAGACUACAAGUCUGCAAACCUGAUUGACUUGCAAGUGAGCUUGGAAAACAGACACAGAUUCUUUAUUGUGAACCCUGUGUGAUGACUCAAUGCAACUAGCAGACAGUCAGAUUAGCCUGCUUGUCUGCUCCCUGGACCCAGCUCUGGAUUUUCAUUGAUUAACUAGGCCUGUUCUUGAACUAUGUGCUACAGUAUGCUGCAAGAAAUGAGAGCAGCACCUUCCCAAGUGGAAUGGCCACCGUCCCGUCCUAACAGCCAAGCCUUGCCCUCAAAAGUGCUCCAAUUAUCUAUGAAGCCACAUUGUUUUCGGAGCACCACCUGGACAUCCACCAGUUCAGCAACCAAUACCCGCUCUCAGAUCGUCUUCUGUGCAAUGACGAUUUUGGACCACCACUGAGAUGAGGCCGACUCUGAGAAUCCUGAGGCAUCUAGAGAUCUACCAGCUCCAGUUAAACUCUGCGAUACUAAAAAGGAGAUGUGAACUCCAUGUGAUAUUUUGCAACAAUACAACAUUUGUAUUGCCAUUGCUGCCUGAGUCACCUUAGACUUGCUUAUAGGGGAUAGGUACAUACACAUCGUGAACUAAAUAUAUCUAAUAUUAAUCCUGAAUUUUGUGUUCUAUUAAUAUUUACAUUAUUCUUUAU